UACGAAGGGGGGCUAGCGUUGUUCGGAAUUACUGGGGCGUAAAGGGCGCGUAGGCGGUGUGUCAAGUCAGGCGUGAAAGCCCCCGGGCUCAACCUGGGAACCGCGCUUGAGACUGGCACGCUCGAGUUCGGGAGAGGAUGGUGGAAUUCCCAGUGUAGAGGUGAAAUUCGUAGAUAUUGGGAAGAACACCGAUGGCGAAGGCAGCCAUCUGGACCGACACUGACGCUGAGGCGCGAAAGCGUGGGGAGCAAACAGG
rnacentral:rRNA from 1 species